AGCACUCGUGAAUUGCAAUUAUUUGAAAUUUGAACAAAAAAAUACAGACCACAGUAGUGCAGAGUUCUAAUAGUUCUAUUCAUAAAUAUUAUUACAUAAUCGCCAUGCAUAAGUGUAUUGUUUUUAGUAAAACAUCCGAAGUAUCGCCUAGCCACAUUAUGUUGGUUUUAAUUUAUUUCCAAAAAAUGAAAAUAGAAGGAAAUAAUGUCUAAACAUGUUUGAAUUAAAUGAUUAUCCCAAUUUCUAUCUGACAUUGUAUCUGCGGAUUAUUUCUCAAUUACUGAUUGUAAUCAAUGAUCUCAAAACAUAAUCCAAACCGUUUUUCUGGGAUAGAGAAGAAAAAUACUCUGAGCACGACUAAUAAAUUGCAUCUAUAAAAUUGUGUUUCAAAUGAAGGUGUCUUUCGUACUGCGGUGGUAGACGACGGUGUUGUCAACAGAACCGAACAAUGUCAGCGAGGGUGGAGCGUGACGUCGCUACUUGUUGCCGGUCGUUAGCAGACAAAAUAUUGCACAAAUAAGCGAGUUGUGCAUGACGGCCAGAAAAUUGUGUUUCGAAUGACGGUGUUGGUUGUGCUGCGCUGUGCCGCUGCGGUGGUAGACGACUGUGUUAUCUCCAGAACCGAACAAUGUCUGCAAGGGUAAAGCGUAUCAUCCAACGAUGAGGUUGAAGAAAAUGAAAAGACAAAUAAAGAAUUUGGAGACGUUACAAUUGAUGAAUUUAAUUCACCCAGAAAAUCCUUAGAUACUUAAUAAUGUCUAAUUCACAUACACUUAUUUCAUUCAGUGGAUUAUACUUAUAUUUUCCAAACUGAAAUAUACGAUGUACCACAUACAAGGAGCUAGGAAGUUCUAUUGAAGUGUAAAAUCAUGUAAACAUUAUGAACAUCUAAACUUUCAUAUAGAUACAAACUAAUAAGAUGUACACCUUAAUUAUUGAUACAGAAUUCCUCACUGGUGAUCUGAUUGUUGUGCAUAGGCGUUCCCCAGAUUUUACUUCAGAUGCAGCAUAGAUGGCUAAUUUCUAGAGAAGUAAAAUACAUUUUAGUAAUUCACAGACACAUUGGUACUACUCUGAGCACGACUAAUAAAUUAUAUCCAAGAGAAAAUUGUGUUUCUCCAACGAUGAGUUAGAAGAAAAUGAACAGACUAAUAAAGAAUUUGGUAUCGCCAACCGCAGCAAGGGGACUGUAGAUAUAUACUUCCUGUAUUGUGAUUUCCAAAAAACGAAAAUAGAAGGAAAUAAUGGCGGUAAUCAUUUCUACAGCAACACUGGUAGUACUGCUCUGAGCACGACUAGUAAAUCUUAUCUAAGAAAAUAUUGUGUUUUUCCGACGAUAAGUUAGAAGAAAAUGAACAGACGAAUAAAGGAUAUGGAGACCUUACAGUUGAUGAUUUUAAUUCACCCAGAAAAGCCUUAGAUACUUAAUAAUGUCUAAUUCACACACACUUAUAUAAGUUUAUCACUCAUGUAUCCAAUUUUAAAUUUGUGAUAUUGUAACUAUUGUACAAGAUUUUUUGACAAA